UGGAGAAUUGAGGGGGGCUGCUCCUAGUACGAGAGGACCGGAGUGGACGCAUCACUGGUGUUCGGGUUGUCAUGCCAAUGGCAUUGCCCGGUAGCUACAUGCGGAAGAGAUAAGUGCUGAAAGCAUCUAAGCACGAAACUUGCCCCGAGAUGAGUUCUCCCUUGUCCUUUAAGGACACUAAAGGAACGUUAAAGACGAUGACGUUGAUAGGCCGGGUGUGUAAGCGCAGCGAUGCGUUGAGCUAACCGGUACUAAUGAGCCGUGAGGCUUAACCUUACAACGCCGAAG
rnacentral:rRNA from 1 species